AAUUCAAUAGAGGAAAGAUUUAAUAUGUUGGAAGGGAAAUUGGAUUAACUUUGGUAAUAACAAUGCAUUGAGAGAGGAUUUGAGAUCUUUCAUGAGUAUAUUUGCAAAGGAAAAUGGAAAGGAAGUCUCUACUGAGGAUACAUUGAAGGAGGAUUUGAGAUCUUUCUUGUGUAUAUUUGCAAAGAAAAAUGAAAAGGAAGUCUCUACUGAGGAUAUUGGAGUCAGGGGAGCCGAAAGUAGUGG
rnacentral:misc_RNA from 1 species